rnacentral:rRNA from 1 species
UCAGUCGACUCCUACGGGGAGGCAGCAGUGGGGGAAUAUUGCACAAUGGGCGCAAGCCUGAUGCAGCCAUGCCGCGUGUAUGAAGAAGGCCUUCGGGUUGUAAAGUACUUUCAGCAGUGAGGAAGGCAGGUACGUUAAUAGCGUGCUUGUUUGACGUUAGCUGCAGAAGAAGCACCGGCUAACUCCGUGCCAGCAGCCGCGGUAAUACGGAGGGUGCGAGCGUUAAUCGGAAUUACUGGGCGUAAAGCGCAUGCAGGUGGUUUGUUAAGUCAGAUGUGAAAGCCCGGGGCGUCAACCUCGGAAUAGCAUUUGAAACUAGGCAGACUAGAGUACUGUAGAGGGGGGUAGGAAUUUCAGGUGUAGCGGUGAAAUGCGUAGAGAUCUGAAGGAAUACCGGUGGCGAAGGCGGCCCCCUGGACAGAUACUGACACUCAGAUGCGAAAGCGUGGGGAGCAAACAGGAUUAGAUACCCUGGUAG